GCCAGCAGCCAUAUCACCCUGCAGCUCUCAACUGGCUACCCACUGAAGCUCAGCAGGGUUGAGCUUGGUCAGUACCUGGAUGGGAAAACUCCUGGGAAGCUAAGGUUGCUGCUGGAA
ensembl:rRNA 5S_rRNA 5S ribosomal RNA